rnacentral:tRNA from 1 species
GGGGGGAUAGCUCAGUGGUAGAGCGCGUGCUUAGCAUGCAGGAGGUCCUGGGCUCAAUUCCCAGUACCUCCG